ensembl:lncRNA
AGCAAAGAAACGAGAAAUGACCCUCUUCUAUCUAAGGUGUAUGACUUAACUAUGACCGGUUGGCCUUCCCAGAGAGAAACUGAACUAUCGGACUAUUUCACAAGGAAGGAUCAACUUACUGUGUGCCACGGUUGUGUCAUGUGGGGUUCACGUGUUAUUGUACCACCCAAACUACGUGCUAAAGUGCUUAACGCACUGCAUGAUGGACACAUGGGGGUUGUGAAAAUGAAAAGCCUUGCGAGAAGUUAUGUGUGGUGGCCUGGCCUUGAUAACCACAUAGAAGCUCUUGUCAAAACAUGCACAGGUUGUCAACAAACCCAGCGCCAACCCCAGCUUGCUCCUGUCCACACUUGGGAAUGGCCGACGACUCCAUGGCAACGCAUACAUGUGGACUAUGCUGGACCUUUUAUGGACCACAUGUUUCUUAUUGUGGUCGAUGCACACUCGAAAUGGCCUGAGGUUUUCACAGUGAAUAAAGCAACUACGGCGCAGACGGUGACUCAACUCCAGAUGCUUUUUGCUCGCACUGGAUAUCCGCUUCAGCUUGUCAGCGACAACGGAACGCAGUUCACCAGUGAGGAAUUUCAGGUUUUCCUGAAAAGCAAUGGAAUAAAACACGUCACCUCUGCUCCUCAUCAUCCGGCUACCAAUGGGCUGGCUGAACGUUUCGUGCAGACUUUUAAACAGUCCAUGAAAGCAAGUAGGAAAGAAGGAGUGCCUCUGCAACAGAAGAUAACUAACUUUCUACUAGCAUACCGAAACACACCACACUCAACGACAGGACAAUCACUGGCAAUGUUGUUCAUGGGAAGAAACUUAAGGUGUCGUUUGGAUCUUCUGAAACCUGACAUCCGUCAACAUGUCACUAACAAACAAUGUUCUCCCACUCAACAACAAAGGAAACUAAGAUCAUUCGAUAUUGGACAAAAAGUUCUGGCUCGAGACUAUCGCAACCAAAGUGACAAGUGGCAGCAAGCUGAGAUUCUGUCACAAUCAGGACCACUCUCUUAUACUGUGGGCCUACAACCUGAUGUCGUCUGGCGCAGACAUGUCGAUCAGCUUUUGGAUGCCUCACAUGGAAAUGUCACUAACCGAUCUGUGACACCAACUGGUACUGCAAAUAAAGAAGACAGUAUCUCAACACCCGACUUGACUGAAGUGGAAAUAAACUCCACACCAGAGACUGUGAACAGUCCCAGACCAAUCACAAACCUGCCUGACCCUCCGGGACGUAGAUACCCCGGAAGGAACCGUAAACCACCUGAGAGACUUGAUUUGUAAAAAGAAAAAUAAACAACUGUAACUGUUAAAAAAAAAAAAAAAAAAAAAAGUUUUAUUGAAUUGUUAAUACAUGCUACUGUAUACUUGUGCAUUUGUUAUAAAGGUAAGUUCUAUUUUUGAAGUUAUUUGCCAUAACUCCUACUUGGUAUUUUUAUUUGAAUUUCAUAAGUGCAUAAAAGCUGGAAGGGAGGAAUUGUUAUGUAUUGACAUAAGCAGCUAUGGUUAGUACUGUGUAAGAGGCACUACUUUAUGUUGCGCAUGUGUACAGGCGCAUACGUUAUGUAUAAAGUGUCAGCGCACUAAUGUGUGAGUUGUGAUAAGGCACCUGUGGA